AGAGUUUGAUCCUGGCUCAGGACGAACGCUGGCGGUGUGCUUAACACAUGCAAGUCGAACGGUAAGGCCCUUUUUUGGGGUACACGAGUGGCGAACGGGUGAGUAACACGUGAGUAACCUGCCCUCAUCUCUGGGAUAACAGUCGGAAACGGUUGCUAAUACUGGAUAUGAGCUUGCAAGGCAUCUUGUGGGUUGGAAAGAUAUUUUUUUGGUUGGGGAUGGACUCGCGGCCUAUCAGCUUGUUGGUGAGGUAGUGGCUCACCAAGGCUUCGACGGGUAGCCGGCCUGAGAGGGCGACCGGCCACAUUGGGACUGAGAUACGGCCCAAACUCCUACGGGAGGCAGCAGUGGGGAAUAUUGCACAAUGGACGGAAGUCUGAUGCAGCAACGCCGCGUGCGGGAUGACGGCCUUCGGGUUGUAAACCGCUUUCAAUUGUGACGAAGCUUUUUGUGACGGUAGCAGUAGAAGAAGCACCGGCUAACUACGUGCCAGCAGCCGCGGUGAUACGUAGGGUGCGAGCGUUGUCCGGAUUUAUUGGGCGUAAAGAGCUUGUAGGUGGUUUGUCGCGUCGGGAGUGAAAACUCAGGGCUUAACUCUGAGCUUGCUUUCGAUACGGGCUGACUUGAGGGAGGUAGGGGAGAAUGGAAUUCCUGGUGGAGCGGUGGAAUGCGCAGAUAUCAGGAGGAACACCGGUGGCGAAGGCGGUUCUCUGGACCUUUCCUGACGCUGAGAAGCGAAAGCGUGGGGAGCGAACAGGCUUAGAUACCCUGGUAGUCCACGCUGUAAACGGUGGGUACUAGGUGUGGGGGACAUUCCACGUUCUCCGUGCCGUAGCUAACGCAUUAAGUACCCCGCCUGGGGAGUACGGCCGCAAGGCUAAAACUCAAAGGAAUUGACGGGGCCCCGCACAAGCGGCGGAGCAUGCGGAUUAAUUCGAUGCAACGCGAAGAACCUUA
rnacentral:rRNA from 2 species